GUUAAGCGACUAAGCGUACACGGUGGAUGCCCUGGCAGUCAGAGGCGAUGAAGGACGUGCUAAUCUGCGAAAAGCGUCGGUAAGGUGAUAUGAACCGUUACAGCCGGCGAUGUCCGAAUGGGGAAACCCAGUGCAAUUCGUUGCACUAUCGUUAACUGAAUACAUAGGUUAACGAGGCGAACCGGGGGAACUGAAACAUCUAAGUACCCCGAGGAAAAGAAAUCAACCGAGAUUCCCCCAGUAGCGGCGAGCGAACGGGGAGCAGCCCAGAGUCUGAAUCAGCUUGUGUGUUAGUGGAACGGUCUGGAAAGUCCGACGGUACAGGGUGAUAGUCCCGUACACCAAAAUGCACAGGUUGUGAACUCGAAGAGUAGGGCGGGACACGUGGUAUCCUGUCUGAAUAUGGGGGGACCAUCCUCCAAGGCUAAAUACUCCUGACUGACCGAUAGUGAACCAGUACCGUGAGGGAAAGGCGAAAAGAACCCCUGUGAGGGGAGUGAAAUAGAACCUGAAACCGUAUACGUACAAGCAGUGGGAGCCUUUAGGGGUGACUGCGUACCUUUUGUAUAAUGGGUCAGCGACUUAUAUUCUGUAGCAAGGUUAACCGUAUAGGGGAGCCGCAGGGAAACCGAGUCUUAACUGGGCGUUAAGUUGCAGGGUAUAGACCCGAAACCCGGUGAUCUAGCCAUGGGCAGGUUGAAGGUUGAGUAACAUCAACUGGAGGACCGAACCCACUAACUUUGAAAAGUUAGGGGAUGACUUGUGGCUGGGGGUGAAAGGCCAAUCAAACCGGGAGAUAGCUGGUUCUCCCCGAAAUCUAUUUAGGUAGAGCCUCGGACGAAUUCCAUUGGGGGUAGAGCACUGUUAAGGCUAGGGGGUCAUCCCGACUUACCAACCCGAUGCAAACUACGAAUACCGAAGAAUGUUAUCACGGGAGACACACGGCGGGUGCUAACGUCCGUCGUGAAGAGGGAAACAACCCAGACCGCCAGCUAAGGUCCCAAAGUCACAGUUAAGUGGGAAACGAUGUGGGAAGGCCCAGACAGCUAGGAGGUUGGCUUAGAAGCAGCCACCCUUUAAAGAAAGCGUAAUAGCUCACUAGUCGAGUCGGCCUGCGCGGAAGAUGUAACGGGGCUAAACUGUGCACCGAAGCUGCGGCAGCGACACUAUGUGUUGUUGGGUAGGGGAGCGUUCUGUAAGCCGCUGAAGCUGGACUGUGAAGUCUGGUGGAGGUAUCAGAAGUGCGAAUGCUGACAUAAGUAACGAUAAUGCGGGUGAAAAGCCCGCACGCCGGAAGACCAAGGGUUCCUGUCCAACGUUAAUCGGGGCAGGGUGAGUCGACCCCUAAGGCGAGGCCGAAAGGCGUAGUCGAUGGGAAACAGGUUAAUAUUCCUGUACCCGUGAGAAGUGACGGCCUCUGGAAGUAGUUUUUCCUUAUUGGAUUGGAGAAGCUGCCAAGGAGGUCCAGGAAAUAACUCUCACAUAUGGACCGUACCCCAAACCGACACAGGUGGUCAGGUAGAGAAUACCAAGGCGCUUGAGAGAACUCGGGUGAAGGAACUAGGCAAAAUGGUGCCGUAACUUCGGGAGAAGGCACGCUGAUAUGUAGGUGAAGCCCCUGCGGGUGGAGCUGAAAUCAGUCGAAGAUACCAGCUGGCUGCAACUGUUUAUUAAAAACACAGCACUGUGCAAACACGAAAGUGGACGUAUACGGUGUGACGCCUGCCCGGUGCCGGAAGGUUAAGAGGAGAUGUGCAAGCAUUGAAUUGAAGCCCCGGUAAACGGCGGCCGUAACAAUAACGGUCCUAAGGUAGCGAAAUUCCUUGUCGGGUAAGUUCCGACCUGCACGAAUGGUGUAACCAUGGCCACGCUGUCUCUACCCGAGACUCAGUGAAAUUGAAAUCGCAGUGAAGAUGCUGUGUACCCGCACCUAGACGGAAAGACCCCGUGAACCUUUACUACAGCUUGGCACUGAACAUUGAACCUACUUGUGUAGGAUAGGUGGGAGGCUUCGAAGCAGAGACGCUAGUUUCUGUGGAGCCGUCCUUGAAAUACCACCCUGGUAUGUUUGAUGUUCUAACGUAGGUCCCUAAUCGGGAUUGCGGACAGUGUCUGGUGGGUAGUUUGACUGGGGCGGUCUCCUCCCAAAGAGUAACGGAGGAGCACGAAGGUUAGCUAAUCCUGGUCGGACAUCAGGAGGUUAGUGCAAUGGCAUAAGCUAGCUUAACUGCGAGACAGACACGUCGAGCAGGUACGAAAGUAGGUCAUAGUGAUCCGGUGGUUCUGAAUGGAAGGGCCAUCGCUCAACGGAUAAAAGGUACUCCGGGGAUAACAGGCUGAUACCGCCCAAGAGUUCAUAUCGACGGCGGUGUUUGGCACCUCGAUGUCGGCUCAUCACAUCCUGGGGCUGAAGUAGGUCCCAAGGGUAUGGCUGUUCGCCAUUUAAAGUGGUACGCGAGCUGGGUUUAGAACGUCGUGAGACAGUUCGGUCCCUAUCUGCCGUGGGCGCUGGAGAAUUGAGGGGGGCUGCUCCUAGUACGAGAGGACCGGAGUGGACGAACCGCUGGUGUUCGGGUUGUUUUGCCAAAGGCAUUGCCCGGUAGCCAAGUUCGGAAUCGAUAACCGCUGAAAGCAUCUAAGCGGGAAGCCCCCCUCAAGAUUAGGUCUCUCUGAGAGCCGUGGAAGACCACCACGUUGAUAGGUCAGGUGUGGAAGUGUGGUAACACAUGAAGCUAACUGAUACUAAUUGCUCGAGG
rnacentral:rRNA from 1 species